GAUGAACGCUGGCGGCGUGCCUAAUACAUGCAAGUCGAGCGAACAGACGAGGAGCUUGCUCCUCUGACGUUAGCGGCGGACGGGUGAGUAACACGUGGAUAACCUACCUAUAAGACUGGGAUAACUUCGGGAAACCGGAGCUAAUACCGGAUAAUAUAUUGAACCGCAUGGUUCAAUAGUGAAAGACGGUUUUGCUGUCACUUAUAGAUGGAUCCGCGCCGCAUUAGCUAGUUGGUAAGGUAACGGCUUACCAAGGCGACGAUGCGUAGCCGACCUGAGAGGGUGAUCGGCCACACUGGAACUGAGACACGGUCCAGACUCCUACGGGAGGCAGCAGUAGGGAAUCUUCCGCAAUGGGCGCAAGCCUGACGGAGCAACGCCGCGUGAGUGAUGAAGGUCUUCGGAUCGUAAAACUCUGUUAUUAGGGAAGAACAAAUGUGUAAGUAACUAUGCACGUCUUGACGGUACCUAAUCAGAAAGCCACGGCUAACUACGUG
rnacentral:rRNA from 1 species